AUGAACCCAAUCCCGUUCCUGCCAGCCCCACCAGGCUGUUUCUCCUGCUGGCCUUUGCUCACCCCUGCACCUCGCUGCAUCCCUCUCCCACCACCCGCAGCAUCCCCGUCCCGUCCCCAUCCGCGUCACGAGCGGCUCCGUUCUCCCCGCAUGCCUUGGACCGGAGCAGGGCAGGAUGAGCGCGGUGCAGCGGGGCCACGGCCCGGCGGCUGCCCCCGGGGCUCAGCGCGCAGGAAUGCUGUGAGUUUGCAAAGUGGUUUCAGCGAGACGUUAUCUAAUGAGGGAGGAGGAGGAGGGCGGAUUAAGCCAAACCCACAGCACCGGCUUUCAAUUAAACCGGGUGAAUUUACGGCUUCUCUUUCUGACACAGCAAACGCGGGCUCCGAGCAGCUGCUGGGCUCUCCCCAGGGUCCCGACCCGCCGGUCCCCUCCUUGCCCCAGCAGGGAAACGGAGCAGCAGCACACGGGCGCUCGCCCCGUGAAGCCGGAACCCCUCUGGGCUCCGCGUUUACUCACCAGCACCAUGCCAAGCCCAGGGACCCACGGGCGAUGCGGCGGUGGGUGCUGCGCCCCGGAGCCGGCCCCACCUCGGGGACACGGGCUGCAGGGGUGGGAGAGGUGGAGGGGAUGAGGAGGUGGAGACCUGGGAGGAGAAACCCCGCAGCAGCAGCUGCCGGAUGGGAGAGGUGCAGACGGCUUCGAGUAACGCCUCAGGACCCCCGAGAUGCAUCUGACGGAUGGGGGACGCUUGGCGGGGGCUCAGCCUGCCCAGGUGCUCCACCUGCCCGGCGUCCUCCCCUCCACGUCCCUGCAUCGGUCCCGCACCUCCUCCUGCCUCGGUUUCCCCCAUUUUCCUCAGUUUUUGCCCAUCCAGAGCGCGGAUGGGGCUGCCAGGGGCGGCAGGAGGAGCCGGGCGAGCCGGAUGAGCCAAGCCAGGAUCUCGCAACCGGGGCUGGGAGCAUCCCGCCGGCGCUGCGGGCCAGGGCUGGGCACGGGGCGCAGCCGCGCGUGUGCCACGGCACGCCUGGCGCCUGCCGCUGCCAACCCACCGUGGGGGAAAAUGCCCCAAAAUGGUCCAGGGAGGGGCCAGGACCUCUCAUCCUGCCACCCCCGGCAUCCCAGCGCUGCUGGUGCCCAUGCGACCCCAAAAAGCACCCCGAGUCCUUUUGGCCACGGCAUGAGCAUCGCCCCGAGCGCCGGCUCUGGGAGAUGCGGCUCCCGGGGGGGUCGUGGUGCCACGCAGCCCCCCCCCAGCCCCACGGUGCCACCCUGGAUGCAGGCACCCAGCCAGGCCGGUGA
rnacentral:lncRNA from 1 species